rnacentral:rRNA from 1 species
UUGCCUCGGCGGGAUCUCUGCCCCGGGUGCGUCGCAGCCCCGGACCAAGGCGCCCGCCGGAGGACCAACCAAAACUCUUAUUGUAUACCCCCUCGCGGGUUUUUUUAUAAUCUGAGCCUUCUCGGCGCCUCUCGUAGGCGUUUCGAAAAUGAAUCAAAACUUUCAACAACGGAUCUCUUGGUUCUGGCAUCGAUGAAGAACGCAGCGAAAUGCGAUAAGUAAUGUGAAUUGCAGAAUUCAGUGAAUCAUCGAAUCUUUGAACGCACAUUGCGCCCGCCAGUAUUCUGGCGGGCAUGCCUGUCCGAGCGUCAUUUCAACCCUCGAACCCCUCCGGGGGGUCGGCGUUGGGGAUCGGCCCUCCCUUAGCGGGUGGCCGUCUCCGAAAUACAGUGGCGGUCUCGCCGCAGCCUCUCCUGCGCAGUAGUUUGCACACUCGCAUCGGGAGCGCGGCGCGUCCACAGCCGUUAAACACCCAACUUCUGAAAUGUUGACCUCGGAUCAGGUAGGAAUA